CCUUUCCCCCUCCUUUCUCGAAAACCCCCCAUUCUGCCCAGGAUGAAGCCCUCUUCCUCCUUCCAGUCCGUCACUCGUCCCUCCGCCGCCAGCCUCCUCUCAGCCCAUCCGUGUCCAUCCCUUUCCGAUUCCGUCCGUCGCCGGCGGUUCUCCGAGACGGUGAUCCGUUUGUCCUCCUCUCUGUCUUUCCCCUAAUCUAUUUUCUUCUUUCUCUUCCUUCCUCCGGCGUCCGGCGUCCACGAAUCUAUUGCUCUGUCUCCCCCUCUUUCUGAAACCCUAGGAGUUUAUUAUUAUUAUUAUUAUUAUUAUUAUAUAUUUCUCUACAUCCCAUCUCCACCGUCCAUCCCCUAGGUUUUCUGACCGAUGGCGACGGCGGCGACGAUGCCGGCGUUGGGGGCGGGGAUCUCGCCGGACCUCUACCCCAGCGAGGACGACCUCGUCUACGAGGAGGAGAUCCUCCGCAACCCCUUCAGCCUGAAGCUGUGGUGGCGCUACCUGGUGGCCCGCGCCGACGCCCCCUUCAAGAAACGGUCGGUGAUCUACGAGCGCGCCCUCAAGGCCCUCCCGGGGUCCUACAAGCUCUGGCACGCCUACCUCCGCGAGCGCCUCGACCUCGUCCGCUCCCUCCCCAUCUCCCAGCCGGCCUACGAGUCCCUCAACAACACCUUCGAGCGCGCCCUCGUCACCAUGCACAAGAUGCCCCGCAUCUGGAUCAUGUACUUGACCUCCCUCACCGAGCAGCGCCUCCUCACCCGCGCCCGCCGGACCUUCGACCGCGCCCUCCGCGCCCUCCCCGUCACCCAGCACGACCGCAUCUGGGCCCCCUACCUCGCCCUCGUCUCCCUCCCCGGCGUCCCCGUCGAGACCUCCCUCCGCGUCUACCGCCGCUACCUCCUCUUCGACCCCUCCCACAUCGAGGACUUUAUCGACUUCCUCAUCACCUCCCAACGCUGGCAGGAGGCCGCCGAGCGGUUGGCCUCCGUCCUUAACGACGACUCCUUCCACUCCAUCAAGGGCAAGACUCGCCACCAGCUCUGGCUCGAGCUCUGCGACCUCCUCACCCGCCACGCCACCGAGGUCUCCGGACUCAAGGUCGAUGCCAUCAUCCGUGGCGGCAUCCGGCGCUUCACCGACGAGGUCGGCCGCCUCUGGACGUCCCUCGCCGAUUACUACGUCCGCCGGGGGCUCUACGAGAAGGCCCGUGAUAUCUUCGAGGAGGGCCUCACCACCGUAACUACUGUGAGGGAUUUCAGCGUCAUCUUCGAGUCCUAUGCCCAGUUCGAGCAGAGCGCGCUCUCUGCAAAGCUCGAGACGGUCGAGGUCUCGGAUGACGAGGGAGACCCGGACGAGGAGAACGGCAAAGAUGGCGUCACGAAGCUUACGAAGAAAUUCCUUCAUGGCUUCUGGUUGAAUGACGAUGACGAUGUGGAUCUCAGGUUGGCUAGGUACGAGAACCUCUUGGAAAGGAGGCCGGAGCUCCUCAACAGCGUGAUCUUGAGGCAGAAUCCUCACAAUGUGAAGGAGUGGCACAACCGAGUAAAGCUUUUCGAGGGCAAUCCUGCAAGGCAAGUGUUGACUUAUACAGAAGCAGUGAGAACUGUGGAUCCCAUGAAAGCGGUGGGGAAACCCCACACUUUGUGGGUUGCUUUUGCAAAGCUGUAUGAGAGCCACAAUGAUCUCGAGAAUGCUACAAAGAUAUUCGAGAAGGCUGUACAAGUCAAUUACAAGACAGUUGAUAAUCUGGCUAGUGUGUGGUGUGAAUGGGCAGAAAUGGAGCUGAGGCACAAGAACUUUAAGAAGGCACUGGAACUUAUGAGGCGGGCGACUGCAGAGCCCUCUGUCGAGGUCAAGCGGAGAGUUGCUGCUGAUGGGAAUGAGCCGGUGCAGAUAAAGUUGCAUAAAUCUUUGAGGCUGUGGAGCUUUUAUGUGGAUUUGGAGGAGAGCUUAGGAAUGUUAGAAUCCACUCGUGCUGUUUAUGAGAGAAUACUUGAUUUGAGAAUAGCUACCCCACAAAUCAUACUUAACUAUGCUUUUCUUCUUGAGGAGCACAAAUACUUUGAGGAUGCAUUUAAGGUGUAUGAAAGAGGUGUAAAGAUUUUUAAAUACCCACAUGUUAGAGAUAUAUGGGUCACUUACCUCUCCAAAUUUGUGAAAAGAUAUGGAAAAACCAAGCUAGAACGGGCAAGAGAACUAUUUGAGCAUGCAGUUGAAAAGGCACCUUCAGAAGAUGUGAAACCCCUAUAUCUGCAAUAUGCUAAACUGGAGGAAGAUUAUGGGCUUGCAAAGCGUGCAAUGAAAGUUUAUGAUCAAGCAGUGAAGGCCGUUCCUAAUAGUGAAAAAUUGAACAUGUAUGAAAUUUACAUUGCUCGAGCUGCCGCAUUUUUUGGUGUUCCAAGAACAAGGGAGAUAUAUGAGCAAGCCAUUGAAUCCGGUCUCCCUGAUAAGGAUGUGAAAACAAUGUGCAUGAGAUAUGCCGAACUUGAAAGGAGCCUAGGAGAAAUUGAUCGUGCCCGUGCCAUAUAUGUAUUUGCAUCACAGUAUGCAGAUCCACGGUCUGAUCCUGAUUUCUGGAAAAAAUGGAAAGAUUUUGAGAUACAACAUGGUAACGAGGAUACCUUUAGAGAAAUGCUUCGUAUCAGCCGUAGUGUCUCAGCGAGCUACAGCCAGACACAUUUCAUCCUCCCUGAGUACUUGAUGCAAAAGGAUCAGAAGCUAAAUCUAGAAGAAGCUGUGGACACUCUAAAGCGUGCUGGGGUUCCAGAAGAUGAAAUGGCUGCUUUAGAAAGGCAAUUGGCUCCUGCACCUGCUAAGGUACCUGCUAGUGAUGGUGACAGAGUGAUGAACUUUGUUAGUGCUGGGGUAGAGUCACAGCCUGAUGGGAGGAAGGUUACUGCAAAUAGUGAGGAUAUCGAAUUGCCAGAGGAAAGUGACUCUGAGGAUGAGAACAUUGAAAUAGCCCAAAAGGAUGUUCCUGCUGCUGUAUUUGGAGAGCUUGCCCACACGGCUGCUGAAGAUCAGGAUAAAGGUGCUGCUGCUGAGGAUAAUGGGAGCAACAGUCAUUUAGGUGCCCUUGAGAGAAUAAAAAGGCAAAGGCGACAGUAGAGUCGCCAUACUGAGACUACAUCAAUCUCAUAUGUCAAAGGGGCUUAUUACUUACCAAACAAAUCCUUGGCCAAGUCGAACGAGACGAUCUAUCCACCUAUCCGUAUUGACACCAAUCCAACAAUUCCAUCUUUGAAAUGCUCUUAGACAUGUGAUCCGCAGCAAAGCUCUGUCUGGAGGGAUGUUGUUUGCACGGUCAGCUUAUUUGUUUCAAUGAAAUGAGGGUUAGGUGCGAGGCGUUUCAUCAGCGAUAUAAUAUUGCUUCAUUUUGUAGUAGGGGAAGCUGAUUGUUUCUGUUCCUUCAGAAUAAUUUAAACAAUAUAUCACAUUUGAAGAUAUAUGUUCUGUGUUAGGUUGUUGGAUAUAAGGAAAAUGUUAAAACAAUUCACAGCCAUCUCAGACAUUAGAAGAAGCAGGGUUGAGCCGCCUGAGGGAUUGCAGUAAGGUGUGAAGGGCCCCAUGGCUGGGUUGCAGGAUUGGCAGUGAAUCAGAUAGCCAAAACAUGGUUUCUUCAGGGUAUUUUUGAGGGUUGUAGUUGUGCAUUAAUUUACAUCGCAGUAAAGUGAGUGCGCAUAAAAGACUUCAUGAGAGUUGCACUGGGCUCUUGGCUCAGGUUGAAGUUUCCAAGGAUGUCUAGCUUGGAGGUUACGGGUUGUUAAUGUACUUUUAUUUCCUUCUGUUAUUGUUGUCACUGUAUCCGGAACAAAGGUGUGGAAUUCUAUUAUGGGAGGAGGAUUCUGGGAAUUGAGGGGUUAUCUAGGCUGGGUUUGGAACUUCAAAAGGAACUUGAAUUAUGUUGGAAUUAACAAGAGAUUUCUUUUAGUCCACUAUUUGAGUGGUCAACGAGGAUUACUCACUUCUUUAUAGCGUGAAGAUCAAAUCCCUAUAUAACCUUUUGCCCUAUUGCAUGUAACAGGGUUUAUGUUGCACUCA